rnacentral:rRNA from 1 species
AAACCCCCUCGCCGAAAGACUAAGGUUUCCUGAUCAACGCUAAUCGGAUCAGGGUUAGUCGGGUCCUAAGGCUCAGCCGAACGGUGAGGCCGAUGGCAGAACAGGUUAAUAUUCCUGUACUACCUUAAAGAGUGACGUGGAGACGGAGGCGUGACAGCGCCGCGGACUGACGGAAUAGUCCGUUGAAGGGUGUAGAUGUUGAUUAUCCCAGGCAAAUCCGGGAUAAGAGUCGAACCUGAUAGUAUGGAGCGUUCUUCGGAACAAUCCAAUAGUGCGUGUAAUCAUACUCCCAAGAAAAUCCGCUAAACUUAAUCCUUAAGGUACCCGUACCGCAAACGGACACACGUAGUCGGGUUGAAUAUACUAAGGCGCUUGAGUGAUUCACGGUUAAGGAACUAGGCAAAUUGACCCUGUAACUUCGGGAUAAAGGGUCCCAACGAGAGUUGGGCGCAGAGAAUAGGUCCAGGCAACUGUUUAACAAAAACACAGGGCUGUGCGAAAUUGAAAGAUAAUGUAUACAGCCUGACACCUGCCCGGUGCUGGAAGGUUAAGAGGAGAUGUCAUCGCAAGAGAAGCAUUGAAUUGAAGCCCCAGUAAACGGCGGCCGUAACUAUAACGGUCCUAAGGUAGCGAAAUUCCUUGUCGGGUAAGUUCCGACCUGCACGAAUGGUGUAAUGAUCUGGACACUGUCUCAACCGUGAGCUCAGUGAAAUUGUAGUAUCGGUGAAGAUGCCGAUUACCCGCGAUGGGACGAAAAGACCCCGUGAACCUUUACUAUAGCUUAACAUUGAAUUUGGGUAAUUGAUGUGUAGGAUAGGCCGGAGGCUUCGAAGCGGGCACGCCAGUGUCCGUGGAGCCGCUGUUGAAAUACGGCCCUUUGAUUAUUUGAGUUCUAACCCGUUGUUGCGGGGACACUGUUUGGUGGGUAGUUUGACUGGGGUGGUCGCCUCCAAAAGUGUAACGGAGGCUUCUAAAGGUGCCCUCACGACGAUUGGUAACCGUCGGCAGAGUGUAAUGGCAUAAGGGCGCUUGACUGGGAGACUUACAAGUCGAUCAGGUAGGAAACUAGAGCAUAGUGAUCCGGUGUUUCCGUAUGGAAGGGACAUCGCUCAAAGGAUAAAAGGUACUCCGGGGAUAACAGGCUGAUCCCUCCCAAGA